rnacentral:rRNA from 1 species
UACGGAGGGGGCGAGCGUUAUUCGGAAUUAUUGGGCGUAAAGGGCGCGUAGGCGGCUGUACAAGUCAAAGGUGAAAUCCCUCGGCUCAACUGAGGAACUGCCUUUGAAACUGUACGGCUUGAGGCCGGGAGGGGGUAGCGGAAUUCCCAGUGUAGCGGUGAAAUGCGUAGAUACUGGGAGGAACACCAGUGGCGAAGGCGGCUACCUGGACCGGUUCUGACGCUGAGGCGCGAAAGCGUGGGUAG